CCUACGGGAGGCAGCAGUGGGGAAUUUUGGACAAUGGGCGAAAGCCUGAUCCAGCAAUGCCGCGUGAGUGAAGAAGGCCUUCGGGUUGUAAAGCUCUUUUGUCAGGGAAGAAACGGUGAGGGCUAAUAUCUCUUGCUAAUGACGGUACCUGAAGAAUAAGCACCGACUAACUACGUGCCAGCAGCCGCGGUAAUACGUAGGGUGCAAGCGUUAAUCGGAAUUACUGGGCGUAAAGCGUGCGCAGGCGGUUUUGUAAGUCUGUCGUGAAAUCCCCGGGCUCAACCUGGGAAUUGCGAUGGAGACUGCAAGGCUAGAAUCUGGCAGAGGGGGGUAGAAUUCCACGUGUAGCAGUGAAAUGCGUAGAGAUGUGGAGGAACACCGAUGGCGAAGGCAGCCCCCUGGGUCAAGAUUGACGCUCAUGCACGAAAGCGUGGGGAGCAAACAGGAUUAGAUACCCUGGUAGUCCACGCCCUAAACGAUGUCUACUAGUUGUCGGGUUUUAAUUAACUUGGUAACGCAGCUAACGCGUGAAGUAGACCGCCUGGGGAGUACGGUCGCAAGNUUAAAACUCAAAUGAAAUUGACGG
rnacentral:rRNA from 1 species